rnacentral:rRNA from 1 species
GAUGAACGCUGGCGGCGUGCCUAAUACAUGCAAGUCGAGCGAACAGACGAGGAGCUUGCUCCUCUGACGUUAGCGGAGGACGGGUGAUUAACACGUGGAUAACCUACCUAUAAGACUGGGAUAACUUCGGGAAACCGGAGCUAAUACCGGAUAACAUGCUGAACCGCAUGGUUCAACAGUGAAAGACGGUCUUGCUGUCACUUAUCGAUGGAUCCGCGCCGCAUUAGCUAGUUGGUAAGGUAACGGCCUACCAAGGCGACGAUGCGUAGCCGACCUGAGAGAGUGGUCGGCGACACGGGAAGUGAAACACGGUCCAUACGCCUGCGAUAGGGCGCAGUAUGGAAUCGUACGCAAUGGGGGAGAGUCUUACAGAGCAGCGCCGCGUGAGUUAAGAAGGUCUUGGGAUCGUAAAACUCUGUUAUUAGUUGAGAACAAAUGUGUAAGUAACUAUGCACUUCUUGACGGUACCGGAUCAGAAAGCCACGGCUAACUACGUG